rnacentral:rRNA from 1 species
UACGUAGGGUCCGAGCGUUGUCCGGAGUUACUGGGCGUAAAGGGCGCGCAGGCGGCGGUGUAGGCGUGGCGUGAAAGCCCCCGGCUCAACCGGGGAGGGUCGUCGCGGACCGCACCGCUUGAGGGCGGCAGGGGCUGGUGGAAUGCCUGGUGUAGUGGUGAAAUGCGUAGAGAUCAGGCGGAACACCCGUGGCGAAGGCGGCCAGCUGGGCCGGCCCUGACGCUGAGGCGCGAAGGCGUGGGGAGCGAACGGG